GUACUCUCACACUCCCCAAUCCUCUGGAUCCGGGGAGUGGUGGACUUGAGCGUCUGCUGCUUGACUGUGGCUCGCUUUAAAUGGAUUAGUGCAACUCUUGGUUGGACAUAGUACGGCGUGAUAAGUGUCUUCGCCGGCACCUCAUAAGAGGGUGACCGAUUGGGAGCUCUGUGCUUUCAAACCGUCUUCGGACAAUCUCUGACA
rnacentral:misc_RNA from 1 species